UACGAAGGGAACUAGCGUUGUUCGGAAUCACUGGGCGUAAAGCGCGCGUAGGCGGCUAUACAAGUCAGAGGUGAAAUGCCGGGGCUUAACCCCGGAACUGCCUUUGAAACUGUAUAGCUAGAGUAUCGGAGGGGAGUGCGGAAUUUCUAAUGUAGCGGUGAAAUGCGUAGAUAUUAGAAGGAACACCGGUGGCGAAGGCGGCACUCUGGACGAUUACUGACGCUGAGGUGCGAAAGCGUGGGGAGCAAAC
rnacentral:rRNA from 1 species